rnacentral:rRNA from 1 species
AUUGAACGCUGGCGGCAUGCCUUACACAUGCAAGUCGAACGGCAGCACGGGUGCUUGCACCUGGUGGCGAGUGGCGAACGGGUGAGUAAUAUAUCGGAACGUACCUUAUCGUGGGGGAUAACGCAGCGAAAGCUGCGCUAAUACCGCAUACGCCCUGAGGGGGAAAGCGGGGGACCGUAAGGCCUCGCGCGAUUAGAGCGGCCGAUAUCUGAUUAGCUUGUUGGUGGGGUAAAAGCCCACCAAGGCGACGAUCAGUAGCUGGUCUGAGAGGACGAUCAGCCACACUGGGACUGAGACACGGCCCAGACUCCUACGGGAGGCAGCAGUGGGGAAUAUUGCACAAUGGGGGAAACCCUGAUGCAGCCAUGCCGCGUGUGUGAAGAAGGCC